GAAUGAUAGAAUAUCCCAAGUUGGAAGGGACCCACAAGGAUCAUUGAGGUCUACAAGGAGGCUUCAAGUGACUUCUGUAUUUUCAGAGCUGGCAGAACACAAUGUAAGCACCUGAGCAAACUGCUACAAGCCAAUGCUGGGAAAAUCUGAAUACAGAUGGAAUGAAAAGUAACAGAUCUAGUGUACCACAGCAAGGAGUGCAACACAGCUACUUCUGUGUUACAGAUAUUGGGUUGUUGGGUGAAGGCCAUGGGAAACUCUCGGCACAUGGUAUUUCUUCUCCCCACUCUUCUUGGAUCCAAAAUGCAAGCAACUCUGACGUGAGAGGCCACAGGAGGUGGGACAUCAGCCAUCUAAGAAACAAAUGUUUAUUCUCAAUGGCCUUAUAUGUUCCCUCUGUUAUCAGCUGAGAGGUACACGCAUUUCCAAAGGAUGAUUCGUAUCAUUAAAAAUUAAAUUUGUAGAAUAGAUGGGCUGAACCCUCCAGAGGGACAAUUUUCUCUGCGCUGUCUGUUCAAGUAACCUAGAUGACAAUCUCAGACUAGAUGCUUAAAUUUUACAGGGCUGCAGUGAGAUGACGUGAAUUCUAUCAAAACAAAUUCUGCCCACAGUAUCUAGAAGAGUACUUUAAACAACAAAUAUGACUGAGAUUUUCAAGUCACUUGAAGGACUUAAACCCUUAUGUCUUUUGGAAUAAAAUGGGCUUUGGUUGUGGAGAUCCA
rnacentral:lncRNA from 1 species